GAUGAACGCUGGCGGCGUGCCUAAUACAUGCCAGUCGAGCGAACAGAUAAGGAGCUUGCUCCUUUGACGUUAGCGGCGGACGGGUGAGUAACAGGUGGGUAACCUACCUAUAAGACUGGAAUAACUCCGGGAAACCGGGGCUAAUGCCGGAUAACAUUUAGAACCGCAUGGUUCUAAAGUGAAAGAUGGUUUUGCUAUCACUUAUAGAUGGACCCGCGCCGUAUUAGCUAGUUGGUAAGGUAACGGCUUACCAAGGCAACGAUACGUAGCCGACCUGAGAGGGUGAUCGGCCACACUGGAACUGAGACACGGUCCAGACUCCUACGGGAGGCAGCAGUAGGGAAUCUUCCGCAAUGGGCGAAAGCCUGACGGAGCAACGCCGCGUGAGUGAUGAAGGUCUUCGGAUCGUAAAACUCUGUUAUUAGGGAAGAACAAAUGUGUAAGUAACUGUGCACGUCUUGACGGUACCUAAUCAGAAAGCCACGGCUAACUACGUG
rnacentral:rRNA from 1 species